UACGGAGGGUGCGAGCGUUAAUCGGAAUUACUGGGCGUAAAGCGUGCGUAGACGGUUCUGUAAGUCGGAUGUGAAAUCCCCGGGCUCAACCUGGGAAUUGCAUUCGAGACUGCAAAGCUUGGGUGCGGAAGAGGGAAGCGGAAUUUCCGGUGUAGCGGUGAAAUGCGUAGAUAUCAGGAGGAACACCAAUUGCGAAGGCAGCUCGCUGGGACGUUACUGACGCUGAGACGCGAAAGCGUGGGGAGCAAACAGG
rnacentral:rRNA from 1 species